UGUCAUGUCUUAUGUCUGUCUGACUGACUUGCAACCAACUUAAGUUCCAAAACUCAUUACUAGAUGUCGCCAGGGUCGCCGAUGUUGUUGUUUUUUCAUGGUGAAACGAGGCGAAAUGAGCGAAACAAAUUGUUGCUAAUUUAUAAUAUACUUACUUAUUCCUGUGAUUUCAAAUACCAAAUUUAACUUCGUAUCUUAUAUGCAUACUGUUAGUCAUUCCAACAAGUUGACUUAGUGCUCAGUCAAUUUUCAUCCAUUAGAUCCUCACGCUGUCAAAAGCCUAAAACCCAUGUUUGAAGAGCACAUAUAGUGGAAUAUAAAUGUGCCGAGAUAAGGUAUUCUUGCUUAUGAACCAUAGGAUCUUUUCUGAAUCUCGCAAUUUUGGUGGCAUACCCUGCAACAGCAUUUUAUUUGUUGUUAUGACUGUUUUUACUUUGGUUUAGAAGUCAACCCAGCUAAGAGAUAGAGUUUCAGUGACAUGAAGAGUGUGAAGUGAACC